rnacentral:rRNA from 1 species
UACGUAGGGGGCAAGCGUUGUUCGGAAUCACUGGGCGUAAAGGGAGUGCAGGCGGAAGGGCAAGUCAGGAGUGUAAUCUACGGGCUCAACCCGUAGUUCGCUCUUGAGACUGUUUUUCUUGAGUAGUGGAGAGGGAGACGGAAUUCCAGGUGGAGCGGUGGAAUGCGUAGAUAUCUGGAGGAACACCAGUAGCGAAGGCGGUCUCCUGGCCACAUACUGACGCUGAGGCUCGAAAGCUAAGGUAGCGAACAGGAUUAGAUACCCGCGUA